rnacentral:rRNA from 1 species
CGACCUGAGAUCAAGCAAGGCUACCCGCUGAACUUAAGCAUAUCAAUAAGCGGAGGAAAAGAAACUAACCAGGAUUCCAUUAGUAACGGCGAGCGAAACUGGAAAAGUCCAACUUGAAAAUCUUCAGCUUUCAGCUGACGAAUUGUAGUCUAUAGAAGUAUUCUCUGUAGCCACUCCUGCCCAAGUUCCCUGGAACGGGACGUCAUAGAGGGUGAGAGCCCCGUAGGCAGGAUGUUGGUCGCUUCACGAGAUGCUUUCGCAGAGUCGGGUUGUUUGGGAAUGCAGCCCUAAUUUGGUGGUAAGUCCCAUCUAAGACUAAAUACUGGCGAGAGACCGAUAGCGAACAAGUACCGUGAGGGAAAGAUGAAAAGAACUUUGAAAAGAGAGUUAAAAAGUGCUUGAAAUUGUAGAGGGGGAAGUCAUUAACGGCUGUGGGUGCACCCGGGCUCAAAGUACCUUAACGGGUGCCUGAAAGUGCCGGGAGCUGGUCAGCAUGGGUUCAGCCUGAGAGA